UACGUAGGGGGCAAGCGUUGUCCGGAAUCAUUGGGCGUAAAGCGCGCGUAGGCGGCCAGAUAAGUCCGGUGUGAAAGUCACAGGCUCAACCUGUGAAUGCCGCUGGAGACUAUCUGGCUAGAGUCCGGAAGGGGCGAGUGGAAUUCCUGGUGUAGCGGUGAAAUGCGCAGAUAUCAGGAGGAACACCUAUGGCGAAGGCAGCUCGCUGGGACGGUACUGACGCUGAGGCGCGAAAGCGUGGGGAGCGAACAGG
rnacentral:rRNA from 1 species